rnacentral:rRNA from 1 species
AUUGAACGCUGGCGGCAGGCCUAACACAUGCAAGUCGAGCGCGUGCCGGACGGGUGAGUGUUAUCUGGGAGACAGCCCGUUGGAGGGGGGGAACAACAGGAAACGGUAGCUCAAACCCCAUACUAUCGGAUGUGCCCAGAUGGGAUUAGCUCGGAGGUGGGGUAACGGCUCACCUAGGCGACGAUCCCUAGUUGGUCUGAGAGGAUGACCAGCCACACGGUAACUGAGACACGGUCCAGACUCCUACGGGAGGCAGCAGUGGGGAAGAGUGCACAAUGGGCGCAAGCCUGAUGCAGCCAUGCCGCGUGUAUGAAGAAGGCCUUCGGGUUGUAAAGUACUUGCAGCGAGGAGGCGUUACUCGCAGAAGAAGCACCGGCUAACGCCGUGCCAGCAGCCGCGGUAAUAC